GACGAACGCUGGCGGCGUGCUUAACACAUGCAAGUCGAACGGAAAGGCCCUGCUUUUCUGGGGUGCUCGAGUGGCGAACGGGUGAGUAACACGUGAGUAACCUGCCCUUGACUUUGGGAUAACUUCAGGAAACUGGGGCUAAUACCGGAUAGGAGCUCCUGCUGCAUGGUGGGGGUUGGAAAGUUUCGGCGGUUGGGGAUGGACUCGCGGCUUAUCAGCUUGUUGGUGGGGUAGUGGCUUACCAAGGCUUUGACGGGUAGCCGGCCUGAGAGGGUGACCGGCUACAUUGGGACUGAGAUACGGCCCAGACUCCUACGGGAGGCAGCAGUGGGGAAUAUUGCACAAUGGGCGGAAGCCUGAUGCAGCAACGCCGCGUGCGGGAUGACGGCCUUCGGGUUGUAAACCGCUUUCGCCUGUGACGAAGCGUGAGUGACGGUAAUGGGUAAAGAAGCACCGGCUAACUACGUG
rnacentral:rRNA from 1 species